rnacentral:rRNA from 1 species
UCUACGUAGCGUGAAUCAUCGAAUCUUUGAACGCAUCUUGCACUUUUCAGGUCUCCUGGAAAGUAUACUUGUUUGAGUAUCAUAAACACCGCUCAGAGUCACACGCUUUGGUGUGUCCUCUCUGGAAGUGAGACGUCAGGGAGCAUUGCGCUCCUUGUGUCUUUUAAUUGAUAUGCAGUGCGCUUCCGCUUGCACCCCGCGUGCAUGGUGGAUGCCCAACUACUAAAUGUGAGAUAAAUAUCGCACAAAGCGGUCGUUGGGUCAAGUGCUGCUACGCCCAGCGUGCCCCCAAAGGGCACACACCCCCGAGUCAUUGAUCUCAAAUCAAGUAAGAGUACCCGCUGAACUUAAGCAUAUCAAUAAGCGGAGG